rnacentral:rRNA from 1 species
CAAACUGGAGAUGGCGACCGGCGCACGGGUGAGUAACACGUAUCCAACCUGCCGAUAACUCGGGGAUAGCCUUUCGAAAGAAAGAUUAAUACCCGAUGGCAUAAUAGAACCGCAUGGUUUGAUUAUUAAAGAAUUUCGGUUAUCGAUGGGGACGCGUUCCAUUAGGCAGUUGGUGGGGUAACGGCCCACCAAACCUUCGAUGGAUAGGGGUUCUGAGAGGAAGGUCCCCCACAUUGGAACUGAGACACGGUCCAA